rnacentral:rRNA from 1 species
CAGCCGUAAACUAUGCUCGCUAGGUGUCAGGCAUGGCGCGACCGUGUCUGGUGCCGCAGGGAAGCCGUGAAGCGAGCCACCUGGGAAGUACGGCCGCAAGGCUGAAACUUAAAGGAAUUGGCGGGGGAGCACAACAACGGGUGGAGCCUGCGGUUUAAUUGGACUCAACGCCGGACAACUCACCGGGGACGACAGCAAUAUGUAGGCCAGGCUGAAGACCUUGCCUGAAUCGCUGAGAGGAGGUGCAUGGCGUGUGACUGU